rnacentral:misc_RNA from 1 species
AAGAGUUGCAAAACUCCCACGAACCAUCGCGAACGUUACCCAGACGUCGUUGCUUCGGCGGGCUCGCCCGCCGGGGGGACGCUACCAGACUCUUGCAGUUCUUCGGCCUCUCUGAGUAUGAUUUUUUAAAUAAGUCA